rnacentral:rRNA from 1 species
GACGAACGCUGGCGGCGUGCUUAACACAUGCAAGUCGAACGGAAAGGCCCUGCUUUUGUGGGGUGCUCGAGUGGCGAACGGGUGAGUAACACGUGAGUAACCUGCCCUUGACCUUGGGAUAACUUCAGGAAACUGGGGCUAAUACCGGAUAGGAUCUCCUGCUGCAUGGUGGGGGUUGGAAAGUUUCGGCGGUUGGGGAUGGACUCGCGGCUUAUCAGCUUGUUGGUGGGGUAGUGGCUUACCAAGGCUUUGACGGGUAGCCGGCCUGAGAGGGUGACCGGCGACAUUGGGACUGAGAUACGGCCCAGAAUCCUACGGGAGGCAGCAGUGGGGAAUAUUGCACAAUGGGGGGAAGCCUGAUGCAGCAACGCCGCGUGCGGGAUGACGGCCUUCGGGUUGUAAACCGCUUUCGCCUGUGACGAAGCGUGAGUGACGGUAAUGGGUAAAGAAGCACCGGCUAACUACGUG